UACUCUUUUAGUACAACUUUUAGUAUUCUUAACUUCCAAUUAAGAGAUCUUUUAUAAGAAAGAGUAA
rnacentral:tRNA from 1 species